GGCGAGCGCACCACGUCUGCGACGAAUCGCUUUUUGUUCCAAAUAAUCUUGUGUCUUUUUGUUACAAAACUAAUUAAAAGUGAUUGAUUAAGUGAUUCCCUAAUUACGAGUGAAUAGAUUUUAGUGAAUUGCUGUAAGGGAGAUACUUUUUGUGAUUCUAUUGUUCCUACCCACAUAACAACUUAUUGAAGACAUGGCUUAUUCUUAUGAUAAAGGGCAUCCGCCCAUAUCAGAAGUGGGAUCCCAUGCGCUACUGACCGUGCAAAAACAACCACCUGACUAAAAUAGCGCCUUGAAGUUGUUAAGUAAUAUGGAAAUUUUACUUACUCGGAUGUUAGCGACAACACAACCACCGGUGGCAACUGCUAACGCCCAGUAUAGUGCAGUGAAAUUCGUAGUUUAAUCGGGUAGACGCAGACGCGGAUAUAGAAGGUUGGUCUUAAUUACUGAGCUUAAAGUACUGACUAAACAUUUAGAGGGCGUAGAUUUCUCUAGCUCUUAGCAGUGUACUGAAAGGGCGCGCAGCUUGCUUGAGCAAGUUAAAUUUGUAUGAGCUGACAUGGGAGAAUGUAAAACAAAGUUUAAUGGCUAGAUUUUGUAAACCAAAAUUAUUUCAAGACUUCUUUGAUGAAAUAUUGCGUUUUCAAAUUGGAACAAAAGAAACUGCAGCAGAGUGGCCUGCGCUUAUGGAAUAUGAUCGAAACUAUACCUAAAACCCGAAUCUCAAGAUUUUAUAACUGGAUACGUCAUAUCGGUCUUAUGUCAGAAGGAUGAUUUGAUAUGCCGUGAGCUAAACGCAUAUACUGUCACUAUUAAACCUCAGCUGUUUAGAAUCUUAAAAGGCAUUUCCCUAAAGCGAAGAUCGGGUGUUACUGAAAUCCAAGAGCCUGAUUUCAAGCGACCUAGAAUUGUGGACGCAAGAUUUCCUGAUUCUUCUAGGAUGACUAAGCAGCAAGAUCCGUCAACUGCAACACGUGCCCCCGAGAAAACUUCUACCGUAACCUGUUAUAUAUGCGGUCAAGUUGGACACAUAGCAACAAUUUGUAAAGAAAAG